rnacentral:lncRNA from 1 species
GAUCAUUCUCUAUAAGUAAAUUUGACGUGAGUGAUUUAUUUAUUGCAAGUCGCAUCAGAUGCCAAUCAAUAAAAGCAUUGCUAAAUGAAGAAGAUUUCGUAGGAUUAUUCAAUGACAGGAGAGGUAUUAUGUGACUUAUGAUUAUGAACAACAGUGACGAGGAAGANAAUGAAGAAGAUUUCGUAGGAUUAUUCAAUGACAGGAGAGGUAUUAUGUGACUUAUGAUUAUGAACAACAGUGACGAGGAAGAUUGUUAUGUGUUUUGUCAAGUAGUUAGUAAUCUCAGCCAUGCAUUAAUGAAUGUUUGCUUUCCCAAGAUAAUCUUUUCAUAGUUGUUUGCAGUAGUGGAAG